rnacentral:antisense_RNA from 16 species
GCCUUUGGGCACGCAGGAUUCAGGGGAGGGCUCAAACUUUGCUGAAUCCUGCAGAACAUUCCCACAUUUGAAAACCCCAUAAUCCUUUAAAAGUUUUAUGUGUAAACUCUCAAACAAUCAGGCAUAAGAGAAGAAUACAAAUCUGAAAUAAAUUAACAGAAAAAUAGUUUGAGAGCUUACACAGAAGCUA